GAAUGAAAAGAAAAAGGAAAGAGUACAAGUGGUAUAAAAAAAUGGUGAUUGAAAAAAGAAUGAAAUUUGUCCUCUUGAGUUUCAAAAAGAAAAUGAAAAAGAAUGAAAAGAUAAGAGCAAGAGGAAAGAAAAGUAUGAUUAUUUACCAAAGGUUGAGGAGGUGGUGAGAGUUGUGUGAUAAGUAAGAGUGAUUUAGUUAUAAUGGAAUGUUUUUGAAAAUUGUUCUCUUAGACUUUGAGGUAUAUUUGCUUAUACUGAAAAACAAAUGUUCUUUGGAGUCCAGCCAUGUUACAAGCUGAAAAAGACCUUAGUGAUCCAUGUUUGAUUGUGUAUUUUGUGACAUGUGUAGAGAUGAAUAUCAAAGUUGAUUUGUAUGAAUGAAAUAUAUGAAUUGAGAGAAACACUCACCUUGCUUAUUUUUGUUCUGAGUGAAACACUUAUGUGAGGAAUGCAUUUAUGAUUGAUUUACAUUUAAAUGAACUUUGCAUUAACAUUUCAAUUUGACAUUCCAAAAGGUUCAUAAACACUCUUGCAUUUCAUGGGACCAUUAUUAAUACCUUUAGAAAACAUUGCAAUUAAAAAUCAUGCAAUUUGAAAACUUUUAAUUUGAAAAACUUGAUAUUAAUAAAACCAUGGUCCUUCAUUUUUAAAGUCAUUUGAAUCAUGUUUUAAAUUCCUUUUUUAUAGGACUUUUGUUUGAAGAAAAACAAAUUUUUAAGUUGGGAGAGUUGAUAAGGGCUCAAUUACCAUAUAUUUGAUAUAUUCUUAAAGCACUUAUUAACUUAAUUUGAUAGAAAACAUGAUAUUUUACCCAAUCCAUGUAAAUAUUUAGUUAUUAAGGUUUGAGAUAUAAGAAAUGAGAUAUGUUGCAUCUUUCCUUGUUUUCCUAGGUAAAAUGAGAGUAGUAAUUAAAGAAAAGAGCAACCAAGAUCAUUGGAGCCAAGAUUUGAGGAAUCAGGGCAGAUGGAACUCGUCGAGCAAGACACCUUCUGGCUGAUUGAGUUCAAGGCAGCGAGUUUCCUAUAUUUUGCAAAUGGAAUUCACUUAUCAAGACAUCUUCUGGCUAAGCGAGCUCAAGAAAAUGAGUUCGUUAGAUUUUGCAAAGUCAAUCUCGCUAAGAGAAUACUAAUCUCGCUGAGUGAAAUUAAAGGCGGUUUGAUAUUUAGAAUGUGUUUCACCAGGAAGCAUACUCACUCGCUAAGCAAAUUAGAUGUUUGUUGAGCGAAAUGUCAUUUAUCAGAAAACUAUUUAAAGUUGAAGCAUCUGCCAAAUGAAAAAAGUGGGAAAAAGAAAGUAAGGACAAUGAGGGGGAAACCAGAAGAAUUCACUUGAAAGACCAUUAGAUAAGCCUGGGAAUCAUUGUUGAUGCCCAAUUUCUCUUCUUUUCCUCUUGAUCUUGUAAAGCUCUGAUGAUAAUGAGUAGCUAAAUCUCUCUUUGUUGGGGUCAGAUGUAAUCAAUCAUACUCUUUUGCAUCUCUUUUCAUUUAUAGUUAUAUAUAUUCUCG
rnacentral:lncRNA from 1 species